UGUCGUGAACGGAUGGAGGCCCCGAUACGCGGCGGCGGCAUUUCUCUUUUAUAUUUCAUCGAAAUUUAAAAAAAAAUUUAAUUUAAACUAAAAAGAAAAAGAAACAAAAACAAGGAGUAUAUAUACAUUUUAUUUGUUUAAUAUUUAAAGAAAUAAAGACAAAUUCAAAUCAUCUCGACCCGGAAACGAAAAAAUUCUCGUUGCGUCAUCAUCAGCCGCCAGCAGCAGCAGCCGCUUUAGUUUGAUCGAUGGAUAAAAUUCUACUACUACGAAUACAAAAGUUUGUAUGGUUUGGUUGCUGUGUGCUGUGCUUUUCUAUGUAUGUGUGAACCACGUGGAAAUCUACACAGCAGCACAAGAGAUGGAAGCUUUUUUUAUAUAUAUACGUCUGAAAUCUAGUGUCGUGGGGGUGGGGGAUGGACUGGGUAUUGUGUGUGAUGGUCGCCGAUGGAUGAUGGAUCAUCUCUAUAUGAUCGGAGACGAGUGUCGCUUCUGAAAAUUCUUCAAUCAACUGAUGUGGAUGCCGCGGAUGGAUAUGAUGGGUGUGACAUUGUGUGUGUCGCCGCUUAUAUUCUGCUGCAUUAUAUAAUAGCUCCCAAUGUUUUUGAUUGUUGCUCAGAAAGCCGUGCCAUUUCACAUUUUUGGCUGACGUCAAAAAAUCACAACUGGCUUUCGAGAAAUAAUCAGAAUCACAAAAGAGCCUCGAAUCGACCGUGUCUAAUAUUUGUGUCUAUUUGAUUUUAAAUGUUCUAUUUGAUCGAUUUGUGUUGAAAUUAUAUUUAUGAAAGUAUUCAAAAUUAAUGUUUCUAUAUUUUUUCCCAUUGCAGUUAAACAUUUGGACUGGUUGUCUACUUACAACAAAGUAUAGCGCAUACAGAAAAGAUAAAAAGGAACAAAAUUGACAGUCACAUGCACUGCAGCAAUGGUGGAAAAUCCCGUCCGAACAAAGUCGACCGAUAAUCCACGACGAUUGACUUAUUGACACAAAUAGGAAGAGAUUGCGCUUAUCUGAUUAUCUCUUAUUUAUUAUAUAGCCGAGUGCAUGUUGCGCAACAACUAUUUAGGCCAUCAGCACUCGACGCCAAAUAUUUUAAAGGAGUUUCAGAUAUUCGAACCUAAAAAACGCGGAAAUUGAAAUGAGAGGAAUAUUCACACGAUAUUCUUCUUUCCAUAUAGUCUCGUAUUAUUAUUGCCAUCGCUCGGUGAUGUAAUAAUGUGAAAACGCCAUUUUGGUGGUGUCUAUAUCGAAUUGGAAUAUGAUGGGAAAUGCGAGUUGAUUAACGUGCCAAUAAUGAAACAAACGAUAUCGCAGCAGGCGCCAUUUGUAUGGAAAUCUUCCAGCACGAGACCCGAGAGAAAACUGUAUACUCGUCAAAAGACCAUGCCGCUAAUGGACAUCACGCGGGCGCCGGAAUCACGAAAUGGAUUGUCGAUGCCGAGCUCGUGUAUAGUGUGGGUGCCGUGUUUGCACAAAUUGCUUUUUAAUGAAACGUUUUUAUUUUUUAAUUUCUUCUCAUCUUCUUUUUCUCUCUCCCCGACUAAUAACGAAGCGCGUGAGAAAUGAAUGUUAAAAGAAGAAAACCGGAAAAUGCCGUCACCAACGCCAUCUAUUUACAGCUCCAAGUAAAUUCUUCAACGCCAUCUAGUAAUCAAAACUACAAAUUCAAUCGAAUUUCUCAACCAAUUCGGGAAUUAUAAAAAGAAACAAAUCGAAAUGAAUUAAAAAUUGACUUUCUAAUUUACAGAAUGCUGAUCAACAAUCUCCGAUUUAAAAAACAAAUCUUACUCUGAUUAAAUGUAUUUAACAAAAACAAAACAAUAGCGUCUAAAACGUUGUCCUACAUUUCCCAGGGUGAUAAUAAAAAAGAAAAAUCUCA